UUAAUACUCCCUCUGUCCGGAAAUACUUGUCCUAGAAAUGGAUGUAUAUAGACUUAUUUUAGUUAUAGAUACAUCCAAUUUAUCCAUUUUGAGAACAAAUAUUUCUAGACAGAUGGAGUACCUA
rfam:Triticum aestivum genome assembly, contig: Triticum_aestivum_CS42_TGACv1_scaffold_592678_7BS